rnacentral:rRNA from 1 species
UCGAGGGGCAUCGGGAGGGAAGCUUGCUUUCCUUGCCGGCGACCGGCGCACGGGUGAGUAACACGUAUGCAACCUGCCCUCUUCAGGGGGACAACCUUCCGAAAGGGAGGCUAAUCCCGCGUAUAUCGGUUUCGGGCAUCCGAGAUCGAGGAAAGAUUCAUCGGAAGAGGAUGGGCAUGCGGCGCAUUAGCUAGACGGCGGGGUAACGGCCCACCGUGGCGACGAUGCGUAGGGGUUCUGAGAGGAAGGUCCCCCACACUGGUACUGAGACACGGACCAGACUCCUACGGGAGGCAGCAGUGAGGAAUAUUGGUAAUGGGAGAGAUCCUGAACCAGCCAAGCCGCGUGAGGGAAGACGGCCCUAUGGGUUGUAAACCUCUUUUGUCGGAGAACAAAACCCGGGACGUGUCCCGGACUGCGUGUAUCCGAAGAAAAAGCAUCGGCUAACUCCGUGCCAGCAGCCGCGGUAAUACGGAGGAUGCGAGCGUUAUCCGGAUUUAUUGGGUUUAAAGGGUGCGUAGGCGGUCCGUUAAGUCAGCGGUAAAAAUUUGCGGGGC